rnacentral:rRNA from 1 species
UACAGAGGUCUCAAGCGUUGUUCGGAUUCACUGGGCGUAAAGGGUGCGUAGGUGGUGAGGUAAGUCGGAUGUGAAAUCUCGGAGCUCAACUCCGAAAUGGCAUUGGAAACUACCUUGCUCGAGGGGAUGGGAGGGGGGACUGGAAUUCUCGGUGUAGCAGUGAAAUGCGUAGAUAUCGAGAGGAACACCAGUGGCGAAGGCGAGUCCCUGGACAUCUCCUGACACUGAGGCACGAAAGCUAGGGGAGCAAACAGG